GAGUCGCUAGCUCAGUUGGUAGAGCACCGGCCUUUUAAGCCGAGGGUCGGGGGUUCAAAUCCCCCGCGACUCA
rnacentral:tRNA from 2 species